rnacentral:rRNA from 1 species
GAUAACUGUGGUAAUUCUAGAGCUAAUACAUGCAAACCAGAGUUCCGACCAGAGAUGGAAGGAACGCAUUUAUUAGAUCAAAACCAAUCGGUGGCGGCCGGCUCGUCCGGACGACCAUCGUUUGCUUUGGUGACUCUGAAUAACUUUGUGCUGAUCGCACGGUCUCUUAGCGCCGGCGACGCAUCUUUCAAAUGUCUGCCUUAUCAACUGUCGAUGGUAGGUUCUGCGCCUACCAUGGUUGUAACGGGUAACGGGGAAUCAGGGUUCGAUUCCGGAGAGGGAGCCUGAGAAACGGCUACCACAUCCAAGGAAGGCAGCAGGCGCGCAAAUUACCCACUCCCGGCACGGGGAGGUAGUGACGAAAAAUAACGAUACGGGACUCAUCCGAGGCCCCGUAAUCGGAAUGAGUACACUUUAAAUCCUUUAACGAGGAUCAAUUGGAGGGCAAGUCUGGUGCCAGCAGCCGCGGUAAUUCCAGCUCCAAUAGCGUAUAUUAAAGUUGUUGCGGUUAAAAAGCUCGUAGUUGAAUCUGUGUACCACAGUGUCGGUUCACCGCUCGCGGUGCUUAACUGGCAUUAUGUGGUACGUCCUACCGGUGGACUUAGCUCUUCACGGGGCGGUCCAACUAAUAUCCCAUCGCGGUGCUCUUCACUGAGUGUCGAGAUGGGCCGGUACGUUUACUUUGAACAAAUUAGAGUGCUCAAAGCAGGCUACCUUCGCCUGAAUACUGCGUGCAUGGAAUAAUGGAAUAGGACCUCGGUUCUAUUUUGUUGGUUUUCGGAACCCCGAGGUAAUGAU